rnacentral:rRNA from 1 species
CAAUAGCGUAUAUUAAAGUUGUUGCAGUUAAAAAGCUCGUAGUUGGAUUUCUGGUUGAAGCGACCGGUCGGGCGUUGAUUCGUCUGCACUGGAGUCGGUUUUGGCCAUCCUCUAGGAAAGUGCGUCUGGUAUUAAGUUAUCGGGCGUAUGAUCCUGGUCUUUUACUGUGAAAAAAUUAGAGUGUUUAAAGCAGGCCUUCGCCUUGAAUACAUUAGCAUGGAAUAAUAAGAUAGGACUUUGGUCUAUUUUGUUGGUUUGCAGACCGAAGUAAUGAUUAAUAGGGAUAGUUGGGGGUAUUUAUAUUCCAAUGUCAGAGGUGAAAUUCUUAGAUUUUUGGAAGAUAAACUUAUGCGAAAGCAUUUACCAAGGAUGUUUUCAUUAA